CCUACGGGAGGCAGCAGUGAGGAAUAUUGGUCAAUGGGCUUACGCCUGAACCAGCCAAGUCGCGUGAGGGAAGACUGCCCUAUGGGUUGUAAACCUCUUUUGUCAGGGAGCAACGCCGGCUACGUGUAGCCGGACUGAGAGUACUUGAAGAAAAAGCAUCGGCUAACUCCGUGCCACCAGCCGCGGUAAUACGGAGGCUGCGCGCGUUAUCCGGAUUUAGUGGUUUUAAUGGGUGCGUAGGCGGAAUGCCAAGUCAGCGGUAAAAUCUCGGGGCUCAACCUCGCUCCGCCGUUGAAACUGGCGUUCUUGAGUGGGCGAGAAGUAUGCGGAAUGCGUGGUGUAGCGGUGAAAUGCAUAGAUAUCACGAAGAACUCCGAUUGCGAAGGCAGCUCACUGGACUGCAACUGACACUGAUGCUCGAAAGUGUGGGUAUCAAACAGGAUUAGAUACCCUGGUAGUC
rnacentral:rRNA from 1 species